rnacentral:lncRNA from 1 species
GUGCCGGGAUUACAAGCGUGAGCCACCAUUCCCGGCCCAAAGAGGAGAAGAAGUAUGAAGUGCUUGCUUGGACCUUUCUACUGUGCUUAUUAUUCUGUCUUCUCCUCAUGGCAAGGAUGGGGUCAUGCUUUGUUGUCCAGGCUGGUCUCGUACUCCUGGAAUCAAGGAACCCUUCCACCUCAGCCUCUGAAAGUUCUGGGAUUACAGGCAUAAUUCAUCCUGCCUGGCCAAGAAUCUUUAAUGCUCUGCUCAGGCAACUCUUCCUCUGAGGAUCCUUCCAGUGACAAUUCAAGAAUUAGCGACUCAAUUCCCAGGGUCCCUUAGACCUUCGACCUGCUUGUGGGCAAUUUGGAAACAAGGAUUGUGCCUGAAUCACCUUUGCAUUCCUAGCAUCGUUUUUCCUGGAUAAUAAUUUGUUCAAUAUAUGUUCAAUAAUUGUUCAAUUAUUCAAUAACAAAUGUUCAAUAAAUGUGUGUUAAAUGAAUGACCACAGCUCCUAUAGCAGGUAGCUGACUUUGUGUCUCCUCAACCAAUCUCUGAGCUCUUUGAAACAAAGCCUAUUUUGUUUGAAUGUAAAUUUAUCAUCCCAGUUUCUGGUACAGGGUAGGGAACUAAUGCAUAUGUGGUGAAACAAUCAAUGCCUUAGUGCUUAUGAAGAAUAUCACUGUGUUACACAGAAGCAUGGAAUGACUAAUGUUAAGCUAAACUCAAGUUACUUAGGGAAUAUUAACUUGCAUUUAUUAUACUCUGGGGGAAAAACACAUAUAUGUGUAUAUAUGUAUAACAUAUGUAUGUAUACACAUAUCAGAAUUUGUAUAUGAGAAUG